GAAAGACGGAAAAUGUGGAAGCGGAGGAAGGCAGCCGGAUGGACAUGACGUGUGUGGCCUCUGGUAAGCCUGCUCCGGAGAUUAAGUGGUGGAAAUACGAGGCAUUCAAGGAUUUCCAGCUCAUAUUGCCAAACGACCGAUACACUCUGACGAAGAAAGAUAUGGAUGAGGAAGUACUCGGCACGUUGAGUGUAACAAAUGUCAGUCCAGCUGAUUCGGGCCAGUACGUGUGCACUGCCAUCAACCAGCACGGCAGUGUGCGGGGAAAUAUCUUCCUGCAGGUUAAUACACCAGUUACACAAAUAAUCCCAAACCCACGGAUGGUGGUCCACCCACGGGAUACAAUGGCAAAGAGAGGUGAAUCGACGAGUUUAGACUGCUUGGCACGGGGAGAGCCCAGACCUACAAUCAACUGGUAUAAAGACGG